GCCACUCUGCCGCCCCGCCCUGGCGGAGGUCCUAGCCCAGGGUCAGCAGGCUCUUCUGGAAGGCCAGCGAGGGGUGCCGGCCUGCGUUUCCAGGGCGGACGCUCUCCCGGGCAGGGGGCAAUGAGGGCUCCUGGGCCCACUUAGGAGCCACGCUCUAGUGGGGGCCACCCCGGGGCUAGCACCAGGCUCGGGCUAGCAGGCCGCCACAUCUGCUCCUCGCAGCAACCCCCAGGGGGCACGGGGCCCCCAAUUUAGAGAAGACAGGGCCAAAGCAGAAACGAGGGGUUUGAGUCAGCCACAAAAACAGGACAAGGAAACAUGGCUUCCCUGACACCAAGCCCAGUGGGCCCAGAGUUUCUGCUUUGCUGUUUGACAGGAAUUGGAGGCGUCUCAGGGGUGGCCCCCCCAUCUCUGGGGUCCACUCUAUCUGCCAGAUUUUGCUUCAGGAAACGGGGGGUGAGGGAGCAUAGAUUUGAAGCAUCUCAAAUCCCCACACAAGAGCAGAGCCAGUGGAAAGCAGAGCCAAACCCGGACUCCUGAGAGCAAACCCUGACACUGGGGCGAACCCGCGAGGGACGUGGUUUCAGGAGGCCUGGGCUCAGGCUGCCUGGCCACAGCGGUUCUCAGGCUAAGUGGCUUCCUCUGGGGCAGGACCCACGGAGGCAGGAUCGGCGCUGAGAUCCCAGAUAAGAGGCAAGUGGAGACAGAAGCAGAAAAGCAGCGCUGGCCCUUGACUGGGCUACAAAGCACACCAGAGACACAACUGAGCCCAAGACAAGACGAGAUGACCCGUCCUGGAUGCUUCCAGAGAGCGGAGAGACGUUAAGGAUACCAGUGAUGGGAGCGCAAACGCCCUGAGGGAGGCAGGAGGGGCCACGACGUCAGGAGACGAGUCCGGAAGCGCAGGUGACAGCUGUCAGUGGCUACGGGCCUGGGGACGGGUCAGGGAGAAACGAGGUGCUUUCAAAAACGAAAAAGAAAUAAGUGACAAAAAAACGAAAAAUGCUGACUUGGGCAAAGAAGAUCCAACAUAUGGAAAAGAAGUCCUCGAAGAAGAAAAACAAAAAGUGAAAGCAGAACAGUACAAAAGCCUGCAAUUCAAGAAAAUGCUCCUGAAAUUCAGAACAUGUGAACGCCGGCGUCGAAAGGGCACACACACCACACACCUGGCGGCGUCAUCAGAACGGCCCGCUGAGAUGCGAUCGUUUUUAAAAACUGGACUUAAAAGGGCAAUAAAAGAUUCUUUGUCCCACUGGGAAAAGGGUACUUAACAAGGUGAGAAAACUGGCGCACGGCAUACUCUGCGACAGCAAGGCUUUGUGCCGGAAACACGUGGCAACAUAUUUAAAAUAACCAAAGAGAGAAAUUCUGAGCCAAGGAUUUUCUAUUCAUGGAUUUGAU